rnacentral:rRNA from 1 species
ACUCGAGUGGCGAACGGGUGAGUAACACGUGGGUGAUCUGCCCUGCACUUCGGGAUAAGCCUGGGAAACUGGGUCUAAUACCGGAUAGGAGCCAUUUUUAGUGUGAUGGUUGGAAAGUUUUUCGGUGUAGGAUGAGCUCGCGGCCUAUCAGCUUGUUGGUGGGGUAAUGGCCUACCAAGGCGUCGACGGGUAGCCGGCCUGAGAGGGUGUACGGCCACAUUGGGACCGAGAUACGGCCCAG